GCUGGGUGUGGUGGUGCACACCUGUAAUCCAAGCUACUUGGGAGGCUGAGACAGGAGAAUCGCUUGAACCCAGGAGACAGAGGUUGCAGUGAGCUGAGAUGGCACCACUGCACUCCAGACUGGGCGACAGAGUGAGACUCUGUCUCAA
rnacentral:sRNA from 1 species